rnacentral:rRNA from 1 species
AGAUUGAACGCUGGCGGCGUGCCUAAUACAUGCAAGUCGAGCGGUAACAGGUGUAGCAAUACAUGCUGACGAGCGGCGAACGGGUGAGUAAUGCUUUGGAAUCUUCCCAGUAGUGGGGAAUAACCAGUCGAAAGAUUGGCUAAUACCGCAUACGUCUGUAAAGGGAAAGCGGGGGCUCGUAAGACCUCGCGCUAUUGGAUGAGCCAAAGUCGGAUUAGCUAGUUGGUGGGGUAAUGGCCUACCAAGGCGACAAUCCGUAGCUGGUCUGAGAGGACGACCAGCCACACCGGAACUGAGACACGGUCCGGACUCCUACGGGAGGCAGCAGUGGGGAAUAUUGGACAAUGGGGGAAACCCUGAUCCAGCGACGCCGCGUGUGUGAAGAGGCCUGCGGGUUGUAAGCACUUUUAGUGGGGACAAAAGCUACGGAUUAAUACUCUGUGGUCUUGAUUUAACCCAAAGAAAAGCACCGGCUAACUCUGUGCCAGCAGCCGC